CGGGGGUGCCGUCGGGAGCCGAUAAAAGGUGCUGCAUGGCUGUCCUCUCCUCUUGUCGAGAGAUGUUGGGUUAAGUCCCGUAACGAGCGCAACCCUUGUCCUUAGUUGCCAGCACUUCGGGUGGGAACUCUAAGGAGACUGCCGGUGAUAAACCGGAGGAAGGUGGGGAUGACAUCAAAUCAUCAUGGCCCUUAUGGGCUGGGCUACACACGUGCUACAAUGGUCGGUACAGAGGGUCGCAACCCCGCGAGGUGGAGCCAAUCUCACAAAACCGGUCAUAUUCCGGAUCGCAGUCUGCAACUCGACUGCGUGAAGUCGGAAUCGCUAGUAAUCGCGAAUCAGCAUGCCGCGGUGAAUACGUUCCCGGGCCUUGU
rnacentral:rRNA from 1 species